rnacentral:lncRNA from 1 species
GCGGCCUCGAGGCUUCCGCGCGUGAACAGCUCUGCCUUACGGCGAAGAUGUGGUCGUCGUAUUUACGGUCUGUGGGGGCGCCUGGAGGAAAUGGAGUUCUUGAGCGGAGCGGCUGGUGGAAGGCGGGAGGAGGCAGAGAAGGAAGGAGACGAGCAAACUGGCGCGAGGCCCAAGUACAUGGUAACACAGUGAGUAGGACCCAGCAGGGGCCUGAAGACGCGGGAGCGGAUGGUGAUUAGCCAUGCCCUCGCCCUGAUGUCCUGUGUGGGACGUGAGUGUACUGUCCCCGUGCCCCGGUGAGCUAUGUGAGAGCAGGGAAGAGAAGGGGAGAAAAUCACGCCCGCAGAGCAGCGGUGGGGCCCCCGGGCGGACCCUGCCCCUGGAAGAACAGCUCCAACCGGAGUGCUGUGCAGUGGAGGCAUGACUUCCACGGAGCCUCCUAGGUUAGGAGGAGGAAAGAACAGAAGUCCAGGGAGAGAGAGUGAGGCUGGGGCUGGAUUGCAACAGUGAACAGUUGCCCGCUGGAGACGGUCAGAUCAAGCACACUCACCAGCCACAGAAGACAGGAUAGGGGAAACCUGCUCCAUCUCCCCAGUGUGUCCUUACUUGUGCAUCACCGGAUGUCUGCAGAAACAUGCUCCUCUAGGACCUGCUGCGAUGGUGGACAUGUUUGGUGUCCAGUAAGGCGGCUGCUGACCAUGUGGCUUUCAAGCAUUUCAAAUGUGGCUAGUACAAGUAAGGAACUGAAUUUUGAACUUUUAAAGUUUUUAUGUGGUUUUAACUAAUUAAUUUAAAUUUAAAUAGAUGCAUGUGUCUGGGGGCUACCAAACUGGACAACAGUGUAAAAUAUCCCGUUGGCCAAAUUCAGUGAUUUCAUCUCCCCAUCCACCCUGCUUGAAGGUACUGAAGAUUUUAAAGCUUUUGAACUUCUUAGCCUCUGUGAAACUACCUUGGUUCUGUGAGUUCUUUCCACACAUUGUGAUCACUUGUUUUCAGAGGUUUUCACUAGCUUGCCUUUCUCUUUCUACAAUCAAACAGAAGCAAUUCUUCAGGCUUUGCAGUUGACAGUCUUCUCUUACUCUGUAGUAUUUCCCCAUCUGCUGCCCCAGGGUUUGAGAGAUUUGUGAAUCAAUCCUUAAUCUUUUAUCUUCAGCCCUGAUUUUGCUUUAGGAGGCAGUUUGGUUUAGGAAAAAUAAUAUGGGCAUUGGGGUAUGACCUGACACAGAAACCGCAAAACACCAUUCACCUUUUGGGAUUUAUAUAAUAAUUACUGUAAAGUAUCUAUUAAAUGGUUCUUCAUUCUUUUUCUAUCCUUCUGAUUUUGAGUUACAAGCACAUAUUUCCAACCACCCACAGUCCAUCCUUGCCUCCAUAUCCUUAGAAAAAGUUAGAGAGACAUAAAAUUUUGCAUGAAAUUCAUUUCAUACAGGCCCGUAUCUUUUGCUUGGGAUAUUGCAUGGAUCGUUUCUCCCAGAGAAGAUGACUCCCUGAAGUGAUUUUCAGCUACGUUAAGGCCCUGUUUUAUUCAUUAUGUAACUCCAGUGUCUUCCAUAAUCGUGUAAUAAUAGAAAUCUGAUAAAUGUUGAGCUGAAAAGAAACUUAAUUUGAAGAUAGAAUUCAUCUUCACCAGCUUUACAUGGUGAUCUAUAGUAAUUUCUCGAAGGUUUUAAAUGCUGAACUAAUGACUCUUGCCUUAGUAAAAGUCACCUCAGCUUCUUAGUAGGUGCAGUCCUCUGUGUGACAGGUACAGAGGUUGGCAAGAAUUUUCUACAAAGGACCAGAUAAUUUUUCAUCUUUGUAGCCACACAUGGUCUCUGGUCACAUACUCUUUUUUUGCUCUAUUUUUUGUUUGUUUUUAAACAACCCUCUGAGAAUCUAAAAACCUUCCUUAGCUCCCCUGGCUUAUGCCAGCAGGAUUUGGUUCGUGGGCUAUAGUUUUCUGACCCCUGAACCCACUUCCUGGGCACUGUAAUCCUGAGCACAGUCUCAAGGUAAAGCUAAGAUUGGUGCCACUACUGAAGACAUUUAUUAUGAAUUACUGUAUAAAUGAAUUUCAUCAGAUUAGUCAAUACUACAUUUUAAGCAUGGAACACAGAGAUCUGUCCCACAGUAGAGUUCCAGAAAUUAAGGCUAGGAGUAACAUAUCAGAAUUGCUUUUAGUUGCCAGUGACAGUAAAAUAGACAGGCUGCUUUUUAAAGAAAUGUUAUUCUUCCUCAACUGACAAUUCAUCCAGACAAAAGCAAUCACUAGUAUUUGUUCUACUGUUCAAAAAUGUCAUCAAGAACCCAGAUGUUUCCUACUCUCCUGCUCCACCACCCUUUGCAUGUAGACUUUUCAUUCUCAUUCUUGAUGUCUCCUAUUACAAGGUGGCUGCUGCUGCUCCAGAUAUCUUAUCCCCAUACUAGUGUCUCUAGCUGGGAAAAAAGGAGCAGAAUCUGUCUUUUCAUCAAGGAAAUGAAGUUCACAGUGGAUUCCUCCUUGUUUCUUUCAUCAUACAUGGGGGUACAUACUAUGGUAGGCAGAAUAAUGGACCCCAAAGAUAUCCACACUCUUAUCCUUGGAACCAAUGAAUAUGAAGGAAUAAUUAAGUUUGCAAACCUCAAAACAGAAUAUCUAGGGGCUGCAUAGAACCACACAAUUCCUUAAGAAUAGAACAUCCAACCCUCUGGUUCCCUUUCCCAUCAGAUCUAUUCGCUGGUCUUGGUGGUUGUAAAAGGAGAAAAAGGAACAAUGAAGCCAGCCUCCCAGUGCCUACAGUCUGGCAUAUAGCUUUUGGGCUGUUUCAAAUGAGAUCUGAACUUAAAAAAAAAAAACAAAAA